UACGAAGGGGGCUAGCGUUGCUCGGAAUUACUGGGCGUAAAGGGCUCGUAGGCGGUUCGUCACGUCGGGAGUGAAAACUCGGGGCUUAACCCCGAGCCUGCUUCCGAUACGGGCAGACUAGAGGUAGGCAGGGGAGAGCGGAACUCCUGGUGUAGCGGUGGAAUGCGCAGAUAUCAGGAAGAACACCGGUGGCGAAGGCGGCUCUCUGGGCCUUACCUGACGCUGAGGAGCGAAAGCGUGGGUAGCGAACAGG
rnacentral:rRNA from 1 species